rnacentral:rRNA from 1 species
UUGACCUCGGAUCAGGUAGGGAUACCCGCUGAACUUAAGCAUAUCAAUAAGCGGAGGAAAAGAAACCAACAGGGAUUGCCCCAGUAACGGCGAGUGAAGCGGCAAGAGCUCAAAUUUGAAAGCUGGCCCCCUCCGGGUCCGCAUUGUAAUUUGCAGAGGAUGCUUCGGCAGUGGCCCCCAUCUAAGUGCUCUGGAACGGGCCGUCAUAGAGGGUGAGAAUCCCGUAUGGGAUGGGGUGUCCGCGACCAUGUGAAGCUCCUUCGACGAGUCGAGUUGUUUGGGAAUGCAGCUCUAAAUGGGUGGUAAAUUUCAUCUAAAGCUAAAUAUUGGCCGGAGACCGAUAGCGCACAAGUAGAGUGAUCGAAAGAUGAAAAGCACUUUGAAAAGAGAGUUAAAAAGCACGUGAAAUUGUUGAAAGGGAAGCGCUUGCGACCAGACUCGCCUGCGGGGUUCAGCCGGUAUUCGUACCGGUGUACUUCCCCGUGGGCGGGCCAGCGUCGGUUUGGGCGGCCGGUCAAAGGCCCUCGGAAUGUAACGCCUCUCGGGGCGUCUUAUAGCCGAGGGUGCCAUGCGGCCAGCCCGGACCGAGGAACGCGCUUCGGCACGGACGCUGGCAUAAUGGUCGUAAGCGACC